rnacentral:rRNA from 1 species
UACGUAGGGGGCAAGCGUUGUCCGGAUUUAUUGGGCGUAAAGCGCGUGUAGGCGGCCAGGUAGGUCCGCUGUGAAAACCCGAGGCUCAACCUCGGGACGUCGGCGGAAACCAUUUGGCUAGAGUCCGGAAGAGGAGAGUGGAAUUCCCGGUGUAGCGGUGAAAUGCGCAGAUAUCGGGAAGAACACCCGUGGCGAAGGCGGCUCUCUGGGACGGUACUGACGCUGAGACGCGAAAGCGUGGGUAGCAAACAGG